rnacentral:rRNA from 1 species
GACAGAGGGUGCAAACGUUGCUCGGAAUUAUUGGGCGUAAAGAGCGUGUAGGCGGUCCGGUAAGUCAGCUGUGAAAGUCAAGGGCUCAACCCUUGAAUGCCGGUUGAUACUGUCGGGCUAGAGUCCGGAAGAGGCGAGUGGAAUUCCCGGUGUAGCGGUGAAAUGCGCAGAUAUCGGGAGGAACACCAAUGGCGAAGGCAGCUCGCUGGGACGGUACUGACGCUGAGACGCGAAAGCGUGGGGAGCAAACAGG